rnacentral:rRNA from 1 species
UCUGAAAUCAGGCGGGAUUACCC